GGGAUUCCCACUUGUGAUUUCAUAGAGGCCUGCUACAUAGCUAAUGCCUGUGGUGUGGUCUAAUUCUGUACCUAGAGCCUGGCUGCCAGGGAGCCAGCUUCCCUCACAUUGGCAGGGUGGUACUCCGGUUACAUAACCCCAGACUCUUUGAGGAGAAGGUUAAGGGAUAAAGAAAUCUACCAUCUGAAAGAGACUACCUUCCAAAUGGUGUCAUGAAGCCUUGGGCUCACAGGAUCAUAGAACCUGAGUCAGAAGGGGCUUUGGAGAAGCCCACUGUCUUUUGGCAGCAGCUCCCAGGUGGAAUCUUCCUGGAAUGUUGGAGUGAAGAUCUUACAGGAUUACCAGUGUGUAACCACUUCCAGAAUAGCAGAAGGUCAGAGAGAGUAUCAAUAGUAACCAUAUUCCAUGAGGGUGUGAUAGAGUCUAAGAGUGUUCAGACUGUAACAGCCUUGCUUACUCCUCUUUGCCCAUAGUCCUCUCUUCUCAGUAGUUUUUUUAAAGAAAA
rnacentral:lncRNA from 1 species